GAUGAACGCUGGCGGCGUGCCUAAUACAUGCAAGUCGAGCGAACAGACGAGGAGCUUGCUCCUUUGACGUUAGCGGCGGACGGGUGAGUAACACGUGGGUAACCUACCUAUAAGACUGGGAUAACUUCGGGAAACCGGAGCUAAUACCGGAUAAUAUUUCGAACCGCAUGGUUCGAUAGUGAAAGAUGGCUCUGCUAUCACUUAUAGAUGGACCUGCGCCGUAUUAGCUAGUUGGUAAGGUAACGGCUUACCAAGGCAACGAUACGUAGCCGACCUGAGAGGGUGAUCGGCCACACUGGAACUGAGACACGGUCCAGACUCCUACGGGAGGCAGCUGUAGGGAAUCUUCCGCAAUGGGCGAAAGCCUGACGGAGCAACGCCGCGUGAGUGAUGAAGGUCUUCGGAUCGUAAAACUCUGUUAUUAGGGAAGAACAAACGUGUAAGUAACUGUGCACGUCUUGACGGUACCUAAUCAGAAAGCCACGGCUAACUACGUG
rnacentral:rRNA from 1 species